CCUUCUACAGGCGUCUCUGAAACCAUGACUCUCCUCCACAGAGUGCAGACCACAUUCACUCAGCCGCUACAUGCUGGAGUUCGGCUUUAUCAUCCUCAUGGAACCACAGCUGAGUUCUGUAAACUGAAAUAGCCUGAAGUCAUUUGAGGAACUCUUCUACUUCUUAAACUCAUUGUGUGUCCAUCAUUGUUGCUGAGAGCUGAUUGUUCAUGUCUUCACUGCACAGAGAUCAGCUGUCAAUCAAACAUGAUGGGAUGUGCUUUAACAUCUUCUCAUGAGUUGUUCUGUAGAUGUUGGAGUUUCUUCAGGCGGCGCUCCUUCCUGUGUCUGUGUAGCCAUGGAGGCUAAUUGAAGAAGAAGU